UACGUAGGGGGCGAGCGUUGUCCGGAUUUAUUGGGCGUAAAGAGCUCGUAGGCGGUUCGAUAAGUCGGAUGUGAAAUCUCCACGCUCAACGUGGAGGGGCCGUUCGAUACUGUCGUGACUCGAGUCCGGUAGGGGAGUGUGGAAUUCCCGGUGUAGCGGUGAAAUGCGCAGAGAUCGGGAGGAACACCCGUAGCGAAGGCGGCACUCUGGGCCGGUACUGACGCUGAGGAGCGAAAGCGUGGGGAGCAAACAGG
rnacentral:rRNA from 1 species